rnacentral:rRNA from 1 species
CCUACGGGUGGCAGCAGUGAGGAAUAUUGGUCAAUGGGCGCGAGCCUGAACCAGCCAAGUAGCGUGAAGGAUGACUGCCCUACGGGUUGUAAACUUCGUUUAGAAAGGAAUAAAGUGAGGCACGUGUGCCUUGUUGUAUGUAUUUUAUGAAUAAGGAUCGACUAACUCCGUGCCAGCAGCCGCGGUAAUACGGAGGAUCCGAGCGUUAUCCGGAUUUAUGGGGUUUAAAGGGAGCGUAGAUGGGUUGUUAAGUCAGUUGUGAAAGUUUGCGGCUCAACCGUAAAAUUGCAAUUGAUACUGGCAGCCUUGCGUACAGUUGCGGUAGGCGGAAUUCGUGGUGUCGCGG